AGAGUUUGAUCCUGGCUCAGGACGAACGCUGGCGGCGUGCUUAACACAUGCAAGUGGAGCGACGAACCGGGCUUCGGCCCGGGGCAGAGCCGCGAACGGGUGAGUAACACGUGGGUCAUCUGCCCAGUUGACAGGGACAACCCGGGGAAACCCGGGCUAAUACCUGAUGUGCCCCUCGGGGGAAAGGAAGCUUCGGCCUUCGCAACUGGAUGAGCCCGCGGCCCAUUAGCUUGUUGGUGGGGUAAUGGCCUACCAAGGCGACGAUGGGUAGCUGGUCUGAGAGGACGAUCAGCCACACUGGGACUGAGACACGGCCCAGACUCCUACGGGAGGCAGCAGUGGGGAAUCUUGCGCAAUGCGCGAAAGCGUGACGCAGCAACGCCGCGUGAGGGAAGACGGCCUUCGGGUUGUAAACCUCUUUCAGUUGGGACGAAGCUUCGCCGGUGAAUAGCCGGCUGGAGUGACGGUACCUUCAGAAGAAGCCCCGGCUAACUAUGUGCCAGCAGCCGCGGUAAUACGUAGGGGGCAAGCGUUGUCCGGAAUCAUUGGGCGUAAAGCGCGUGUAGGCGGCCUGGUAAGUCCGUUCUGAAAGCCCGGGGCUCAACCCCGGGAGGCGGAUGGAUACUGUCAGGCUCGAGUUCGGAAGAGGCGAGUGGAAUUCCCGGUGUAGCGGUGAAAUGCGCAGAUAUCGGGAGGAACACCAAUGGCGAAGGCAGCUCGCUGGGACGUUACUGACGCUGAGACGCGAAAGCGUGGGGAGCAAACAGGAUUAGAUACCCUGGUAGUCCACGCCGUAAACGAUGGAUACUAGGUGUGGGAGGUGUCGACUCCUUCCGUGCCGAAGCUAACGCAUUAAGUAUCCCGCCUGGGGAGUACGGCCGCAAGGCUAAAACUCAAAGGAAUUGACGG
rnacentral:rRNA from 1 species